UAAUCCUCAGUGCUGAGGGCUGUGGCCUU
rnacentral:sRNA from 1 species